rnacentral:piRNA from 1 species
UGAAAGAUGAUGGGAUGGGAUGCAUC